GACGUAGGGCGCGAGCGUUGUCCGGAUUUAUUGGGCGUAAAGAGCUCGUAGGCGGCUUGUCGCGUCGUUCGUGAAAACCCGGGGCUCAACUCCGGGCUUGCGGGCGAUACGGGCAGGCUAGAGUUCGGUAGGGGAGACUGGAAUUCCUGGUGUAGCGGUGAAAUGCGCAGAUAUCAGGAGGAACACCGGUGGCGAAGGCGGUUCUCUGGGCAUUACCUGACGCUGAGGAGCGAAAGCAUGGGGAGCGAACAGG
rnacentral:rRNA from 1 species